rnacentral:rRNA from 1 species
AGAGUUUGAUCCUGGCUCAGAGCGAACGCUGGCGGCGUGCUUAACACAUGCAAGUCGAGUGCGCGUCUGUAGCAAUACAGAUGGCGCACGGCGCACGGGUGCGUAACACGUGGGUAAUCUGCCCUUCGAAGGGGAAUAACUCGCCGAAAGGCGAGCUAAUUCCGCAUAACAUUCCUUGGACUUUGGUUUGAGGACUCAAAGGCGUAAGUCGUCGGAGGAGGAGCCCGCGCACGAUUAGCUAGUUGGUGAGGUAAUGGCUCACCAAGGCUAUGAUCGUUAGCUGGUCUGAGAGGAUGGCCAGCCACACUGGAACUGAGACACGGUCCAGACUCCUACGGGAGGCAGCAGUGGGGAAUCUUGCACAAUGGGCGAAAGCCUGAUGCAGCGACGCCGCGUGGGGGAUGAAGCUUCUCGGAGUGUAAACCCCUUUCGACCCGGACGAAUGCCCCGCAAGGGGACUGACGGUACGGGUAUAAGAAGCCCCGGCUAACUACGUGCCAGCAGCCGCGGUAAGACGUAGGGGGCCAGCGUUGCUCGGAAUUACUGGGUGUAAAGGGUUCGUAGGCGGUGUGGCAAGUCGGGAGUGAAAUCUCUGGGCUCAACCCAGAGUCUGCUUCCGAAACUGCUGUGCUUGAGUGUGGGAGAGGCGCGUGGAAUUGCAGGUGUAGCGGUGAAAUGCGUAGAUAUCUGCAGGAACACCCGUGGCGAAAGCGGCGCGCUGGACCACUACUGACGCUGAGGAACGAAAGCUAGGGGAGCAAACACGAUUAGAUACCCUGGUAGUCCUAGCCCUAAACGAUCACGACUUGGGGUGCCACCCGUUCGGGUGUCGUCCCGGAGCUAACGCGUUAAGUCCUGCACCUGGGGAGUACGUCGCAAGACUGAAACUCAAAGGAAUUGACGGGGCCCGCACAAGCGGUGGAACAUGUGGUUC